GUGACUUUUAUGCAUUCCACGUGUGUCGUUCAACUGGGAUACACACACAACUUUGAUCUCGUCUGGAGAAAAUGAAAACAUACAGAAUACACUUUGUCAUGUGGACUGUCCUGGGAUUAGCAGCAGUCUUCAUCUCUUCCUCGGCCCUCUCAGGUGUGAAAGGAAUUGUGAAACAGAAGGUCCUCCUGCAUUGCCCCUGCGUAAAUAGAAAUGUGAGAAAGACAAUUAUCUGGCAGCUAGAAGAGCAUACCAUCGUGCUCCGUCAUGAUGGAAGUAAUAACCACACAACCAUAGGGGAGAGAUAUGAAAACAGGGUCAGUCUCUUUCUAAAUGAAGAGAAGGACAACUGUUCGCUGCUCCUCUCAGGCAUCACUGUGGCAGACAACGGGACAUACAAAUGCUCCUUUACAGCCAACGCUUUUGUCUACGAAAAAGUAAUUCUACAUGUGGCUGCGAGCUACAGUGUCUGUAUGGACCUCGUCUCAGACCAGGCUUCGGUGAGUUCCGGAGGGGGAGAGGGGUCGGGGGUGUACCAGUGUAAAGCCUCUGGGGGCUAUCCAGAGGGCCAGAUUCACUGGAAGCUGGAAGGACAUCCUCUGGUGAACCCCUCCAGGAGGGAUGUGACCCACUUGGACAACUUUACAGGACUCUACAGCCUGACCAGCAACCUGACCAUCGAGCUGAGUAAGGAUGAAACACUGCAAUGUGUGGUGGAGAACACAGCCUUGGCCUCCAACCUCACCUCCAACUCCAGCUGCAAUCAAAAGUCUAUGUCCUGGGAAGGUAGCGGUCAUUAUAAAGUAGAGGUUGCAGCAGUUGUGGCUGUCAGCCUUAUUGUGAUUUUUAUUGUGGGAGUCCUGCUGGUGUUCUUACUAACUAGAUGUCGCCGACAUGAAAGGUCAACGAGAGACACAGAGAGGCAGGAAAGAGGCGUGACCCAUUCGUUUAAUGUGUAUGAAGAUGACUCUGCCUGAAUGUGUAAAGCGUCUCCCCCCUCUGAUGCAACAAUCUCUCUUCAACUGGCAGACAACAAAAUGGAGGGAUGAUGAUAAGAGGAACUGAAACUUAAAAUAAGGCCUGUGUUCAAUGUAGAACUUGGAGCAACAUUGAGCAAUGUGUUGUGCCGUCAUGUCUGAACUAUUCUUUGUUGUGUUACGCAAAGAGGCAAACGGCGCCUGAAAGUGGUUAAUCAUGGUUUUCCCUAGUUCGCUGACACUGAACUGAACCCUGAGUUAUGAAUAUGAUGACGAGAGCAGAGUACAAAAUGUGGCCAUGGAGACAAGGUUUAAGAACUAAAAGAGAAGAGAAGAACAGCAUGAUGGGAGAAAUGACUGUGAUCAAUGAACCGAAAGUGAGCUAGACUCAGUGAAUGAAGCCCCCCCCCCCAAAAAAAGGGAGCCUGUGUAUUGCAAUUGUAGAGUUUACUCACUUCUUAAAGUACAGGUGCUUUCAUAUUUCUAAGAAGAGUAACAUAAUCAAACCAGACUACUGUAGUUAUAUAGCUGAUACAUGACUGAAUAGCCAUCGUUGUCUUUAUGCAUUUUGUAUACUGCAUGUUCCUGGUGUUGGUCUAAUGUAGAUCUGUCUGCUCUAAACAAGAUUUCCCUCUGUAAAUGCCAAACUGGAAUGGGGGAGCCCCUACUGUGCUAUUAAAACCCCUUAUAAUGUCACUGGUCACAUUAUAAGGAAGCUGCAGUAGGAAGUGACUACUUUGCUGAACCAUUUGAAUCAUGCUGAGGAUUCAAACGAUUUGGUUUUAUGUUAGACCAAAUGAUUAGUUUUAAUGUAAAUAGUCAAUGACGUUAUUUUACUUAGAAUUCUGAAUUUAAUUCUCUGAAUGUGUGAAGAAUUGGACAUGUUAAUUGCUUAUUGUUAUGUAGCUUGCUGUGAACUAAGAGACCAUGACAUGUGAUGACUAAUGUCAAGGAUUAUUCAAUUUACAAAUGUCAAGCAAAUUAUCUGUUUACUCCAGUUUAAAGGUCUUCACAGGUCCACCUGAAUAUUCCAGACUUGACUUGGGACCGGGUCUGAAAUGAAAUCUUUUCGUUCUGGUCUGGGUCGUGUCCUGUUUGAUUGUCAUCAGGUGUCAAGUCUAUGUACUGUAAGCACAGAUCAAGGCUUUGCAUAGCCUAUAGAGGGCUUGACGUACGAUGCCUCCUGACGGUCAUGUUUGAAGACCACGGCAUUCAUUAUUCUGUUCUGACAACAACAGCCAAGUGACUACACCAAACUGCAUGAUAACAGUGGCCAGUGCCGACCCGUCAUUCAGGGCAGGUGGGGCUUUUGAGACCCACAUUUUUAGAAAAAACAUUUUUGGGGGGGCUUGCAUUAAUACAGGUCACAUAUCAUUUUACAAACAAUGUAAAAAAGAUAUGUAUCAUUGAGUUAAUAAAGCCGCAUACAAACAUGGUCUCUUUUUGUGUUUUCUUGAGUAAGGCAGCUCCCAAAUGCAGGUGUUUCUGCCCAGCUCAGUGCUUUCUGUGGUGGGGAGGCAAGCCAGCAGGUUGAGGUUGGGGGAUUAUGGAUGCC
ensembl:lncRNA